GCGAAUACCGGAGAAUGUUAUCACGGGAGACACACGGCGGGUGCUAACGUCCGUCGUGAAGAGGGAAACAACCCAGACCGCCAGCUAAGGUCCCAAAGUCAUGGUUAAGUGGGAAACGAUGUGGGAAGGCCCAGACAGCCAGGAUGUUGGCUUAGAAGCAGCCAUCAUUUAAAGAAAGCGUAAUAGCUCACUGGUCGAGUCGGCCUGCGCGGAAGAUGUAACGGGGCUAAACCAUGCACCGAAGCUGCGGCAGCGACGCUUAUGCGUUGUUGGGUAGGGGAGCGUUCUGUAAGCCUGUGAAGGUGGCCU
rnacentral:rRNA from 1 species